rnacentral:rRNA from 1 species
AACGAACGCUGGCGGCAUGCCUAACACAUGCAAGUCGAACGAGACCUUCGGGUCUAGUGGCGCACGGGUGCGUAACGCGUGGGAACCUGCCCUUAGGUUCGGAAUAACUCCCCGAAAGGGGUGCUAAUACCGGAUAAUGUCUUCGGACCAAAGAUUUAUCGCCUUUGGAUGGGCCCGCGUUGGAUUAGCUAGUUGGUAGGGUAAAAGCCUACCAAGGCGACGAUCCAUAGCUGGUCUGAGAGGAUGAUCAGCCACACUGGGACUGAGACACGGCCCAGACUCCUACGGGGGGCAGCAGGGGGGAAUAUUGGACAAUGGGCAAAAGCCUGUCCAACCAAUGCCCGGUUAGUAAUAAAGGCCUUAGGUUUUUAAAGCUCUUUUCCCCGGGAUGAUAAUGACAGUCCCGGGAGAAUAAGCCCCGGCUACCCCCGU